rnacentral:rRNA from 1 species
CCAUUUUUAAGAAAUUAAUAACUCCAUUGAAUUUUAUUAAUCUCUUUUGUGGUGGCACAAAAUCGGAAGCCCCGACUGUUUACUAAAAACACAGCUAUCUGCAACGAUGUAAAUCAUAGUAUAGGUAGUGAGGUUUGCCCGAUGCCAUUAAUAUAAGAGAAGUGAUGGGUAACUGUUAAUUAUCGAAAAUCUGGUUAAUAGCGGUCUUAACUAUGAGGAUCCUAAGGUAGCAAAAUAAAUUGGCCAUUAAAUGUG